UACGUAGGGAGCUAGCGUUGUCCGGAAUCAUUGGGCGUAAAGCGCGCGUAGGCGGCCCGGUAAGUCCGCUGUGAAAGUCAAAGGCUCAACCUUUGAAUGUCAGCGGAUACUGCCGGGCUAGAGUCCGGAAGAGGCGAGUGGAACUCCUGGUGUAGCGGUGGAAUGCGCAGAUAUCAGGAAGAACACCAACGGCGAAGGCAGCUCGCUGGGACGUUACUGACACUAAGGCGCGAAAGCGUGGGGAGCGAACAGG
rnacentral:rRNA from 1 species